rnacentral:tRNA from 1 species
AGGCCCUGCGGUGUAACGUGCGGUUGCAAGCCGCAAGAAGCAGAUAACAUUCUGCCGGGGCUUC